rnacentral:hammerhead_ribozyme from 1 species
UCACUGUUGAGGGGUCCCACAAUAGGACGAAACGGCCGUCCAGUGC